GGGAGCGAAAUUUAGUAGCGAAGUAGCUGAUUUCACACUGUCAAGAAAAGUCUCUAUCGAGGUUAAAGGUACCCGUACCGCAAACCGACACAGGUGGGUGAGGAGAGUAUCCUAAGGCCAGCGAGAGAACUGUUGUUAAGGAACUCGGCAAAAUGACCCCGUAACUUAGGGAUAAGGGGUGCCACCAUCAGGUGGCCGCAGAGAAUAGGCCCAAGCGACUGUUUACCAAAAACAUAGGUUUCUGCUAAGUCGCAAGACGAUGUAUAGGAGCUGACGCCUGCCCGGUGCUGGAAGGUUAAGGGGAUCUGUUAGAGCAAUCGAAGCAGUGAACUUAAGCCCCAGUAAACGGCGGCCGUAACUAUAACGGUCCUAAGGUAGCGAAAUUCCUUGUCGGGUAAGUUCCGACCCGCACGAAAGGCGUAACGAUUUGGGCACUGUCUCAACAACAGACUCGGUGAAAUUGUAAUUCCGGUGAAGAUGCCGGAUACCUGCGACAGGACGGAAAGACCCCAUGGAGCUUUACUGUAGCUUGACAUUGGGUCUUGGUACUACAUGUACAGGAUAGGUGGGAGGCUUUGAAACCAGGACGCCAGUUUUGGCGGAGCCAUCCUUGGGAUACCACCCUUGUAGUACUGGGACUCUAACCAUAGGCCAUGAAUCUGGUCUUGGGACACUGUCAGGUGGGCAGUUUGACUGGGGCGGUCGCCUCCCAAAAGGUAACGGAGGCGCUCAAAGGUUCUCUCAGUACGGUCGGAAAUCGUACGUAGAGUGUAAAGGCAAAAGAGAGCUUGAUUGCAAGACAUACAGGUCGAGCAAGGAUGAAAAUCGGACUUAGUGAUCCGGUGGUUCUGCGUGGAAGGGCCAUCGCUCAACGGAUAAAAGCUACCCUGGGGAUAACAGGCUUAUCUCCCCCAAGAGUCCACAUCGACGGGGAGGUUUGGCACCUCGAUGUCGGCUCAUCACAUCCUGGGGCUGUAGUAGGUCCCAAGGGUUGGGCUGUUCGCCCAUUAAAGUGGUACGCGAGCUGGGUUCAGAACGUCGUGAGACAGUUCGGUCCCUAUCCGUCGCAGGCGUAGGAAAUUUGAGAAGACCUGUCCUUAGUACGAGAGGACCGGGAUGGACG
rnacentral:rRNA from 1 species